CUCUAUGGUGAAGCUGGAGAGGGACACUUUCGAGUGUGCAGGUAACCUUUUGAGCCUGUCGACUAACCCUUUUCAGCUUUGCCACCCUC
rnacentral:antisense_RNA from 1 species